UGGGGGUGGCUGCAAAGAUGCACAGAGCCACAUUAUCUGUCGAACCUUUGAAAAGUGGGAUUGGAUGAAAAUUCUACUACUGUCAGUCCAAGUGUAGGCUGGACCAUGAUAACCAAAGUAGAUCAAGCCAUAAUUCUUAAUUAAGAGGGAGGAGUUAUUAAUGUCAGAUAAACUAGGAGAAGCAUUACUAAACUUCUGAUGAGCUGACAGCAUUUCAUUUAAAUCUCCUGAAAAAAGGGAGGUCUUUUAUCACAAUUGGAUUCUAUUAGCAUUUACAUGAUAGGGAUCUCCAUACAUACAGAUGAGCUUAAAGGAGACAGAAAAAGCAUGGCUAACCACGUUAUAUAGAUGGAAUCCACUAACAGUCAUUAAUCGCUAUAAAGCUGCUCUCAUGUUUAGCCACUCAUCGAGUAAACAUUAGCCGUCCAAUUAAUCUUAAGUUUCUUCUUAUUCAUCAGAUUCAUCCUCAAGGCAAUCUCUGACCAUUUAAUUACUCCUCACCUGAAUGUACAUCAUAUUCUCCGCACUCCACACCACAUCCCUUCCUACCUUCCUUCCUCAUCAUUUCCUCGGCUGUAACCAAUGGGAGGUGGCCAGACAACAGUUUUGAACCAACCAUAUAUCUCCAUGGCCAUUAAUCUCCUCAAUUGGUACCUUCGUGUUCAUUCCCCUCUUCCC
rnacentral:lncRNA from 1 species